GGGGAUGUAGCUCAGAUGGUAGAGCGCUCGCUUAGCAUGCGAGAGGUACGGGGUUUCAUUCCUC
rnacentral:tRNA from 1 species